rnacentral:rRNA from 1 species
UCCUACGGGAGGCAGCAGUGGGGAAUAUUGCACAAUGGGGGAAACCCUGAUGCAGCGACGGCGCGUGGAGGAAGAAGGUCUUCGGGUUGUAAACUCCUGUUGUUGAGGAAGAUAAUGACGGUACUCAACAAGGAAGUGACGGCUAACUACGUGCCAGCAGCCGCGGUAAAACGUAGGUCACAAGCGUUGUCCGGAAUUACUGGGUGUAAAGGGAGCGCAGGCGGGAAGACAAGUUGGAAGUGAAAUCUAUGGGCUCAACCCAUAAACUGCUUUCAAAACUGUUUUUCUUGAGUAGUGCAGAGGUAGGCGGAAUUCCCGGUGUAGCGGUGGAAUGCGUAGAUAUCGGGAGGAACACCAGUGGCGAAGGCGGCCUACUGGGCACCAACUGACGCUGAGGCUCGAAAGUGUGGGUAGCAAACAGGAUUAGAUACCCUGGUAGUCCACACCGUAAACGAUGAUUACUAGGUGUUGGAGGAUUGACCCCUUCAGUGCCGCAGUUAACACAAUAAGUAAUCCACCA